rnacentral:rRNA from 1 species
UGACUGAGCGGCGGACGGGUGAGUAACGCGUGGGUAACCUGCCUCAUACAGGGGGAUAACAGUUGGAAACGGCUGCUAAUACCGCAUAAGCGCACAGUACCGCAUGGUACCGUGUGAAAAACUCCGGUGGUAUGAGAUGGACCCGCGUCUGAUUAGGUAGUUGGUGGGGUAACGGCCUACCAAGCCGACGAUCAGUAGCCGACCUGAGAGGGUGACCGGCCACAUUGGGACUGAGACACGGCCCAAACUCCUACGGGAGGCAGCAUG